GCAGCAGGCACGCAAUUACCCACUCCCGGCACGGGGAGGUAGUGACAAAAAAUAACGAUACGGGACUCUUUUGAGGCCCCGUAAUCGGAAUGAGUACACUUUAAAUCCUUUAACAAGGAUCCAUUGGAGGGCAAGUCUGGUGCCAGCAGCCGCGGUAAUUCCAGCUCCAAUAGCGUAUAUUAAAGUUGUUGCGGUUAAAAAGCUCGUAGUUGGUUCUGCGUGCUACGCUGUCGGUUCGCCGCCUGCCGGUGUAACUGGCAUGCCGUGGCAUGUCCUGUCGGUGGCGUGCGGGAGCUUUGUCUAGGUGACUGCCCGGGCCAAAACCUGGUGUAUGUAGGCCGGAAGUCCAACCCGUGCGCCUACUCUAUCCUACCUAGGUGCUCUUUACCGAGUGUCGAGGCAGGCCGACACGUUUACUUUGAACAAAUUAGAGUGCUCAAAGCAGGCUGAAAUCUCUGCCUGAAUAGUGGUGCAUGGAAUAAUAAAACAGGACCUUGGUUCUAUUUUAUUGGUUCUUAAGAUCACAAGGUAAUGAUCAAUACGGACAGGCGGGGGCAUUCGUAUUGCGACGUUAGAGGUGAAAUUCUUGGAUCGUCGCAAGACGCACAAGAGCGAAAGCAUUUGCCAAGUAUGUCUUGAUUGAUCAAGAACGAAAGUUAGAGGUUCGAAGGCGAUCAGAUACCGCCCUAGUUCUAACCAUAAACGAUGCCAGCCAGCGAUCCGCCGAUGUUCCUCCGAUGACUCGGCGGGGAGCUUCUUCCCGGGAAACCAAAGCUUUUGGGUUCCGGGGGAAGUAUGGUUGCAAAGCUGAAACUUAAAGGAAUUGACGGAAGGGCACCACCAGGAGUGGAGCCUGCGGCUUAAUUUGACUCAACACGGGAAACCUCACCAGGCCAGGACAUUGGAAGGAUUGACAGAUUGAUAGCUCUUUCUUGAUUCAGUGGGUAGUGGUGCAUGGCCGUUCUUAGUUGGUGGAUCGAUUUGUCUGGUUAAUUCCGAUAACGAACGAGACUCUAGCCUAUUAACUAGGCGUUUUCCGGUGUCCACGCCACCGGCGACAAUCAUUCUUCUUAAGGGGACAGGCGGCUUAUAGCCGCACGAGAUUGAGCAAUAACAGGUCUGUGAUGCCCUUAGAUGUCCUGGGCCGCACGCGCGCUACACUGAAGGAAUCAGCGUGUGCCUCCCUGGCCGAAAGGCCCGGGUAAUCCGCUGAACCUCCUGCGUGAUAGGAAUUGGGGCUUGCAAUUGUUCCCCAUGAACGAGGAAUUCCCAGUAAGCGCGAGUCAUAAGCUCGCGUUGAUUACGUCCCUGCCCUUUGUACACACCGCCCGUCGCUACUACCGAUUGAAUGAUUUAGUGAGGUCUUCGGACUGGCGGUAAUGAUUACCGGUUUCUAUCGGUCUUGAUG
rnacentral:rRNA from 1 species